CAGUCGCCGCGGUAACACAGAGGGUGCGAGCGUUAAUCGGAUUUACUGGGCGUAAAGCGUGCGUAGGCGGCUUCUUAAGUCGGAUGUGAAAUCCCUGAGCUUAACUUAGGAAUUGCAUUCGAUACUGGGAAGCUAGAGUAUGGGAGAGGAUGGUAGAAUUCCAGGUGUAGCGGUGAAAUGCGUAGAGAUCUGGAGGAAUACCGAUGGCGAAGGCAGCCAUCUGGCCUAAUACUGACGCUGAGGUACGAAAGCAUGGGGAGCAAACAGGAUUAGAUACCCGUGUAGUCCCUGUCUCUUAUAA
rnacentral:rRNA from 1 species